AAGUAUAACCAUAGAGGGUGAUAGUCCCGUAUGCGAAAAACAAACCUUAGCUAGCAGUAUCCUGAGUAGGGCGGGACACGAGGAAUCCUGUCUGAAUCCGGGUCGACCACGAUCCAACCCUAAAUACUAAUACCAGAUCGAUAGUGCACAAGUACCGUGAGGGAAAGGUGAAAAGAACUGAGGUGAUCAGAGUGAAAUAGAACCUGAAACCAUUUGCUUACAAUCAUUCAGAGCCCUAUGUAGCAAUACAGGGUGAUGGACUGCCUUUUGCAUAAUGAGCCUGCGAGUUGUGGUGUCUGGCAAGGUUAAGCAAACGCGAAGCCGUAGCGAAAGCGAGUCUGAAUAGGGCGCUUAGUCAGAUGCUGCAGACCCGAAACGAAGUGAUCUAUCCAUGAGCAAGUUGAAGCUAGUGUAAGAACUAGUGGAGGACUGAACCCAUAGGCGUUGAAAAGCCCCGGGAUGACUUGUGGAUAGGGGUGAAAGGCCAAUCAAACUUCGUGAUAGCUGGUUCUCUCCGAAAUAUAUUUAGGUAUAGCGUUGUGUCGUAAUAUAAGGGGGUAGAGCACUGAAUGGGCUAGGGCAUACACCAAUGUACCAAACCCUAUCAAACUCCGAAUACCUUAUAUGUAAUCACAGCAGUCAGGCGGCGAGUGAUAAAAUCCGUCGUCAAGAGGGAAACAACCCAGACUACCAGCUAAGGUCCCUAAAUCUUACUUAAGUGGAAAACGAUGUGAAGUUACUUAAACAACCAGGAGGUUGGCUUAGAAGCAGCCAUCCUUUAAAGAAAGCGUAAUAGCUCACUGGUCUAGUGAUUUUGCGCGGAAAAUAUAACGGGGCUAAAGUAAGUACCGAAGCUGUAGACUUGCACACAACUUAGAUUAUUUAAGUUUAGAAUAUGAGAAACUAAGUUAUAUGUUUAGUUAUAUUUUUACUGAUUUUUAUAGAGUAAAGAUAGAAAUAAAACUUAGUAAAAUCAGUAAAAAUAUUCUUAGACUAAAGUUAAGUAGUUUAAGUUGUGUGCAAGUGGUAGGAGAGCGUUCUAUUUGCGUCGAAGGUAUACCGGUAAGGAGUGCUGGAGCGAAUAGAAGUGAGCAUGCAGGCAUGAGUAGCGAUAAUUAAUGUGAGAAUCAUUAACGCCGUAAACCCAAGGUUUCCUACGCGAUGCUCGUCAUCGUAGGGUUAGUCGGGUCCUAAGUCGAGUCCGAAAGGGGUAGACGAUGGCAAAUUGGUUAAUAUUCCAAUACCAACAUUAGUGUGCGAUGGAAGGACGCUUAGGGCUAAGGGGGCUAGCGGAUGGAAGUGCUAGUCUAAGGUCGUAGGAGGUUAUACAGGCAAAUCCGUAUAACAAUACUCCGAGAACUGAAAGGCUUUUUGAAGUCUUCGGAUGGAUAGAAGAACCCCUGAUGCCGUCGAGCCAAGAAAAGUUUCUAAGUUUAGCUAAUGUUGCCCGUACCGUAAACCGACACAGGUGGGUGGGAUGAGUAUUCUAAGGCGCGUGGAAGAACUCUCUUUAAGGAACUCUGCAAAAUAGCACCGUAUCUUCGGUAUAAGGUGUGGUUAGCUUUGUAUUAGGAUUUACUCCGAAAGCAAGGAAACUUACAACAAAGAGUCCCUCCCGACUGUUUACCAAAAACACAGCACUCUGCUAACUCGUAAGAGGAUGUAUAGGGUGUGACGCCUGCCCGGUGCUCGAAGGUUAAUUGAUGGGGUUAGCAUUAGCGAAGCUCUUGAUCGAAGCCCGAGUAAACGGCGGCCGUAACUAUAACGGUCCUAAGGUAGCGAAAUUCCUUGUCGGUUAAAUACCGACCUGCAUGAAUGGCGUAACGAGAUGGGAGCUGUCUCAAAGAGGGAUCCAGUGAAAUUGUAGUGGAGGUGAAAAUUCCUCCUACCCGCGGCAAGACGGAAAGACCCCGUGGACCUUUACUACAGCUUGACACUGCUACUUGGAUAAGAAUGUGCAGGAUAGGUGGGAGGCUUUGAGUAUAUGACGCCAGUUGUAUAUGAGCCAUUGUUGAGAUACCACUCUUUCUUAUUUGGGUAGCUAACCAGCUUGAGUUAUCCUCAAGUGGGACAAUGUCUGGUGGGUAGUUUGACUGGGGCGGUCGCCUCCCAAAUAAUAACGGAGGCUUACAAAGGUUGGCUCAGAACGGUUGGAAAUCGUUCGUAGAGUAUAAAGGUAUAAGCCAGCUUAACUGCAAGACAUACAAGUCAAGCAGAGACGAAAGUCGGUCUUAGUGAUCCGGUGGUUCUGUGUGGAAGGGCCAUCGCUCAAAGGAUAAAAGGUACCCCGGGGAUAACAGGCUGAUCUCCCCCAAGAGCUCACAUCGACGGGGAGGUUUGGCACCUCGAUGUCGGCUCAUCGCAUCCUGGGGCUGGAGCAGGUCCCAAGGGUAUGGCUGUUCGCCAUUUAAAGCGGUACGCGAGCUGGGUUCAGAACGUCGUGAGACAGUUCGGUCCCUAUCUGCCGUGGGCGUAAGAAGAUUGAAGAGAUUUGACCCUAGUACGAGAGGACCGGGUUGAACAAACCACUGGUGUAGCUGUUGUUCUGCCAAGAGCAUCGCAGCGUAGCUAAGUUUGGAAAGGAUAAACGCUGAAAGCAUCUAAGCGUGAAGCCAACUCUAAGAUGAAUCUUCUCUAAGCUCUCUAGAAGACUACUAGUUUGAUAGGCUGGGUGUGUAAUGGAUGAAAGUCCUUUAGCUGACCAGUACUAAUAGAGCGUUUGGCUUAUCUUUAAUAAAGCAU
rnacentral:rRNA from 1 species